UGGGGAAUCUUGCACAAUGGGCGAAAGCCUGAUGCAGCGACGCCGCGUGCGGGAUGAAGGCCUUCGGGUUGUAAACCGCUUUCAGCAGGGACGAGGCCGCAAGGUGACGGUACCUGCAGAAGAAGCCACGGCUAACUACGUGCCAGCAGCCGCGGUAAUACGUAGGUGGCAAGCGUUGUCCGGAAUUAUUGGGCGUAAAGCGCGCGCAGGUGGUUUAGAAAGUCUGAUGUGAAAGCCCACGGCUCAACCGUGGAGGGUCAUUGGAAACUAAUAAACUUGAGUGCAGGAGAGAAAAGUGGAAUUCCUAGUGUAGCGGUGAAAUGCGUAGAGAUUAGGAGGAACACCGGUGGCGAAAGCGGCUUUUUGGCCUGCAACUGACACUGAGGCGCGAAAGCGUGGGGAGCAAACAGG
rnacentral:rRNA from 1 species